GACGAACGCUGGCGGCGUGCUUAACACAUGCAAGUCGAACGAAGUGGCGAACGGGUGAGUAACGCGUAAUCAACCUGCCCUUCAGAGGGGGACAACAGUUGGAAACGACUGCUAAUACCGCAUACUGAAGUAGGGGAUUGAGUCGGCUUAGCUAGUUGGAGGGGUAACGGCCCACCAAGGCGAUGAUCAGUAGCCUGUGUGGGAGGAUGAACGGGCACAUUGGGACUGAGGCACGGCCCCGAAUGCUACGGGAGGGAGCCGGGGGGAAUCUUCCGCAAUGGACGAAAGUCUGACGGAGCAACGCCGCGUGAGUGAUGACGGCCUUCGGGUUGUAAAGCUCUGUUAAUCGGGACGCGUUACCGGAAUAGAAAGCCACGGCUAACUACGUGCCAGCAGCCGCGGUAAUAC
rnacentral:rRNA from 1 species